rnacentral:rRNA from 1 species
GAGUUUGAUCCUGGCUCAGGACGAACGCUGGCGGCGUGCCUAACACAUGCAAGUCGAACGGAACUGUUUUGAAAGAUUUCUUCGGAAUGAAUUUGAUUUAGUUUAGUGGCGGACGGGUGAGUAACGCGUGAGUAACCUGCCUUCAAGAGGGGGAUAACAUUCUGAAAAGAAUGCUAAUACCGCAUGAUAUAUCGGAACCACAUGGUUCUGAUAUCAAAGAUUUUAUCGCUUGAAGAUGGACUCGCGUCCGAUUAGUUAGUUGGUGAGGUAACGGCUCACCAAGACCGCGAUCGGUAGCCGGACUGAGAGGUUGAACGGCCACAUUGGGACUGAGACACGGCCCAGACUCCUACGGGAGGCAGCAGUGGGGGAUAUUGCGCAAUGGGGGCAACCCUGACGCAGCAACGCCGCGUGAAGGAUGAAGGUUUUCGGAUUGUAAACUUCUUUUAUUAAGGACGAAAAAUGACGGUACUUAAUGAAUAAGCUCCGGCUAACUACGUGCCAGCCGCCGCGGUAAUAC